GACAGAGGAUGCAAGCGUUAUCCGGAAUGAUUGGGCGUAAAGCGUCUGUAGGUGGCUUUUCAAGUCCGCCGUCAAAUCCCAGGGCUCAACCCUGGACAGGCGGUGGAAACUGCCAAGCUGGAGUACGGUAGGGGCAGAGGGAAUUUCCGGUGGAGCGGUGAAAUGCGUAGAUAUCGGAAGGAACGCCGGUGGCGAAAGCGGCGUGCUGGACCUCCCCUGACGCUGAGGCGCGAAAGCCAGGGGAGCGAACGGG
rnacentral:rRNA from 1 species